AGAGGAUGCUUCGGGCAAGGCUGCGGUCUAAUUCGCUUGGAACAGCGGGUCGCAGAGGGUGAGAAUCCCGUCUAGGACCGCCUGCCGCGUCCAUGUGAAGCUCCUUCGACGAGUCGAGUUGUUUGGGAAUGCAGCUCUAAAUGGGUGGUAAAUUUCAUCUAAAGCUAAAUAUUGGCCAGAGACCGAUAGCGCACAAGUAGAGUGAUCGAAAGAUGAAAAGCACUUUGAAAAGAGAGUUAAACAGUAYGUGAAAUUGUUGAAAGGGAAGCGCUUGCAAUCAGACUUGAGGGGGGCGGUUCCCCCGGUCUCCUGACCGGGUCAUUCCGCCAUCUCCAGGCCAGCAUCGGUUUGGGUGGUCGGUUAAAGGUCCCGGGAAUGUAUCUACCUUCGGGUCGACUUAUAGCCUGGGGCGCAAUGCGGCCCACCCGGACCGAGGUACGCGCUUCGGCUCGGAUGCUGGCGUAAUGGUUGUAAGCGGCCCGUCUUGAAACACGGACCAAGGAGUCUAACAUCUAUGCGAGUGUUUGGGUGUCAAACCCCUACGCGUAAUGAAAGUGAACGGUGGUAAGAACCCCGUCAGGGGCGCAUUAUCGACCGAUCCUGAUGUCUUCGGAUGGAUUUGAGUAAGAGCAUAGCUGUUGGGACCCGAAAG
rnacentral:rRNA from 1 species